rnacentral:ncRNA from 1 species
AGGUUGUAAUACCAAAGUACUGGAGUACGGUAGGGGCAGAGGGAAUUUCCAGUGGAGCAGUGAAAUGCGUAGAGGUUUGAAAGAACACCAACAAUGAAAGCACUCUGCUGGGCUGACAUUGACACU